GAUGAACGCUAGCGAUAGGCUUAACACAUGCAAGUCGAGGGGCAGCAUGGUCUUAGCUUGCUAAGACUGAUGGCGACCGGCGCACGGGUGCGUAACGCGUAUGCAACUUGCCUCACAGAGGGGGAUAACCCGUCGAAAGACGGACUAAUACCGCGUACACUUGGGAUAGGGCAUCCUGACCCAAGGAAAUGAAAUUCGCUGUGAGAUAGGCAUGCGUCCCAUUAGCUAGUUGGUGAGGUAACGGCUCACCAAGGCGACGAUGGGUAGGGGAACUGAGAGGUUGAACCCCCACUCUGGUACUGAGACACGGACCAGACUCCUACGGGAGGCAGCAGUGAGGAAUAUUGGUCAAUGGGCGAGAGCCUGAACCAGCCAAGUCGCGUGAAGGAUGACUGUCUUAUGGAUUGUAAACUUCUUUUAUACGGGAAUAACAAGAGCCACGCGUGGCUCCCUGCAUGUACCGUAUGAAUAAGCAUCGGCUAACUCCGUG
rnacentral:rRNA from 1 species